rnacentral:rRNA from 1 species
UACGUAGGGGGCAAGCGUUGUCCGGAAUCAUUGGGCGUAAAGCGCGUGUAGGCGGCUGAGUAAGUCUGCUCUGAAAGCCCGGGGCUCAACCCCGGGAGGCGGGUGGAUACUGCUCAGCUCGAGUCCGGAAGAGGAGUGUGGAAUUCCUGGUGUAGCGGUGAAAUGCGCAGAUAUCGGGAAGAACACCCGUGGCGAAGGCGGCUCUCUGGGACGGUACUGACGCUGAGACGCGAAAGCGUGGGGAGCGAACAGG